rnacentral:rRNA from 1 species
UUCGCAAUGCCCGAAAGGGUGACGAAGCGACGCCGCGUGCGGGAAGAAGGCCUUCGGGUUGUAAACCGCUGUCGGGAGUUAGGAAAUGCAAGGAUGUUAAUAGCGUCUUUGCUUGACUAAGGCUCCGGAGGAAGCCACGGCUAACUCUGUGCCAGCAGCCGCGGUAAUACAGAGGCGGCAAGCGUUGUUCGGAAUUAUUGGGCGUAAAGAGCACGUAGGCGGCCGUGUAAGUCGGUUGUGAAAGCCUUCCGCUCAACGGGAGAACGGCAUCCGAUACUGCAUGGCUCGAGUGCGGGAGGGGAGAGUGGAACUUCUGGUGGAGCGGUGAAAUGCGUAGAUAUCAGAAGGAACGCCGGCGGCGAAAGCGGCUCUCUGGCCCGUAACUGACGCUGAGUGUGCGAAAGCUAGGGGAGCAAACGGGAUUAGAUACCCCGGUAGUCCUAGCCGUAAACGAUGGGCACUAAGUAGAGGGGUUUU